UGCAGUGAUGAUUCAACAGACUAGAGUUUCUGAUAACACCAUGAAGUUAUUCACAUUACUGAGCA
ensembl:snoRNA small nucleolar RNA SNORD52